UCACUCUCUAUGGUCCUUUUUCACGUGUUUCUUCCUCUUCAGUACUGUCUUCUUUCUCUUUCUGUAUCUCACCACCAUCCUCUUAUCUCUCAUUCAUUUCUCUUCUCUCUAUUCCUUCUCUUUCUCUUUCUGUUUGUCAUCCUUCUCUAACGUGUGUUUCGACGGUUGAAAGCAAACAUAUGUGUGGCGACCAUGGUUUUAGGUGUGUUCUUACCGUGGAAACGGGCUUGAGACGGUUGUGAUGGUGGUGGUUGAAACGGGAUAGCAACGAUAUGAUUGUAGUUGGCGGUUUCCGUCGACGAGUGUGGUUCUCUAGCAGAUAAAUGUGAAAAGCUUUAUGGUGAAGUGAAAUGGACGGGGGAAAUCACUGUUUGAAAGGUUUAUAAAGGUUUAUAAUUGGUUAUCUGUUUAAAUUUAGGGUUUUCAG